rnacentral:misc_RNA from 1 species
GAUGAAGAACGCAGCGAAAUGCGAUAAGUAAUGUGAAUUGCAGAAUUCAGUGAAUCAUCGAAUCUUUGAACGCACAUUGCGCCCGCUGGUAUUCCGGCGGGCAUGCCUGUUCGAGCGUCAUUUCAACCAUCAAGCCCCCGGCUUGCGUUGGAGCCCUGCGGCUGCCGCAGGCUCCCAAAUCCAGUGGCGGGCUCGUCGUCGUACCGAGUGCAGUAAACAUCCUCGCUCAGGGAACGUGACGGGUUCUUGCCGUGAAACCCCCCACAUAUCAAGGUUGACCUCGGAUCAGGUAGGAAUACCCGCUGAACUUAAGCAUAUCAAUAAGCGGAGGA